rnacentral:lncRNA from 1 species
GUGGGUCAAGGGCCCAAUGAAAUGAAAGAUUUCAAAUGAAAUAAUUUCGAGUCGACUUUGAUGAAUAUUGAAAUAUGAAGCAUCUUUAGCACGAUGUUUAAAGUAAAUGACAUGGUGUCACAUAUCCUUGUUACUCAUACUCAUAACAUGUAUGAUUCUUGCUUACUAAGCAUUAGCUUAUGUUGUUCUUGCAUUGUAGGUGAGCAUGAAACUAUGUAGAGGGCACGGCUAGCUGUGGAGCUCUUACAGGAUUCCAAAGAUCAAUGUACAUGGAUGACGACCUGUAGGGUUAUUUUGUGGGCUGUUGUUUUGAGCUUAUACUCUAUUGUGUCGUAUUUUGGGGGUCCUGUCUUGUAUAACUUUUGAAAUGGCCUAUAGAUGUGUUUAUAACCUUUGAACAUACAUGUUGGAUUAUGGUUAUAUGAUCGUUGAUUUUGAUAUAACAUAUGAUCAUCACAGGUGAUUUGAAGUUAACAA